rnacentral:lncRNA from 1 species
AGGAUGUGGUGGUUAAGGCACUGGACUGGGAUUUAGGAGACAGGAGUUCUGUUCCCAACUCUACCAGUCAAGAUGUCAUGAUGAGUGGAAGGGCAAGCAAACAAAGAGGAGGAGCUGUGUAGCUGUAGCAAAGACACACGUUGACCUGGCCUGUUAGUCCGGAUUGGGGUUAGGUAAAUCUGGGGUCUGCAUAGAAUCAUAGAAUCUGCUGAGUUAGAAAGGACCUCAGGAUCAUCAAGUCCAACUCUUCACCCUGUGCAGGAGUUUUGUUUGGCUACUCAAAAACAAGAGCUUGGGCUGCAUCUCUGAGUUUAAACCUCCAACCUCAUCAUCCUGAUUUGGUGCCGCCUUUGGAAGGAUGAAUCAGGACAAUUACUCAAGUGAUCCGCCCAUGGACUCACUU